rnacentral:rRNA from 1 species
UUGAGAUCGCGGCGACGUGGGCGGUUCGCCGCCGGCGACGUCGCGAGAAUUCCACUGAACCUUAUCAUUUAGAGGAAGGAGAAGUCGUAACAAGGUUUCCGUAGGUGAACCUGCGGAAGGAUCAUUGUCGAACCCUGCAAGGCAGAACGACCUGUGAACACGUAAACACAACUUGGUGAUAGGGAGAUGGACCUUGGUCCUUAUCCCUAUCCCCUCCCGGCGUGCUUGUGCGGUGCCUCGUCUGGGGUACCAUACAUGUCAUGCUGGACCAUAACAAAACCCCGGCACGGCAUGUGCCAAGGAAAAUAAAAAAUGAGAAGUACUCGUACCGUGUUGCCCCGUUCGCGGUGUGCAUGCGGCUCGUGGACUCUUUGUAAUUACAAACGACUCUCGGCAACGGAUAUCUCGGCUCACGCAUCGAUGAAGAACGUAGCAAAAUGCGAUACUUGGUGUGAAUUGCAGAAUCCCGUGAACCAUCGAGUUUUUGAACGCAAGUUGCGCCCGAAGCCAUUUGGCCGAGGGCACGCCUGCCUGGGCGUCACGCAUCGCGUCGCUCCCCCACCAUACUUACCCAAUCAAUGGGUAUUCGUGGUUUGGGUGCGGAUAUUGGUUUCCCGUACUUGUUGCGGUUGGCCUAAAAAGGAGUCCCCUUCGGCGGACACACGAUUAGUGGUGGUUGAACAGACCCUCGUCCAUCUUGUGUCAUUAGCUGCUAGGGAAGCCCUCAUCGAAGACCCCAUCGUAUCGUCUCAGGACGGUGCUUCGACCGCGACCCCAGGUCAGGCGGGACUACCCGCUGAGUUUAAGCAUAUCAAUAAGCGGA